UACGAGGGGGGCAACUGUUGUUCGGAAUCACUGGGCGUAAAGGGAGCGUAGGCGGGUUUCUAAGUCAGGUGUUUAAUCCCGGGGCCCAACCCCGGACAGGCACUUGAAACUGGGAAUCUUGAAUAGUGGAGAGGUCAGUGGAAUUGGAGGUGUAGCGGUGGAAUGCGUAGAGAUCUCCAAGAACACCAGUUGCGAAGGCGGCUGACUGGACACAUAUUGACGCUGAGGCUCGAAAGCAUGGGGAGCAAACAGG
rnacentral:rRNA from 1 species